GCCACACCUGAACUGACAAGAGGCCUGGCUCAGGCCUUGCUCAGUCUCUUCCCAUUGUCUGCUGCAGCAUGGUGAGCUGUGCGUAUUAGCUUCCUUCUCCUGUGCAUCAGAUGCAUUCUUCAAACAGAGUGUGCCAGAGAGGGAGCACCACCACCGCCACCACCACCACCACCAGACAGAUGGGACGCUCACUUCGCUUCCAUGAUGUGUUUGCUUUAAGCUGAGCUGAGUCGAUCAGCGUGGGGUGAUUUGUGAGGGACCUCCGCAAUGUGACACGAAAUGAUGACUUAAUCCUAAAUGAUGAAAUGGCUCAAGACCUCUCAGUCUUGUCCAGUGCACAGAAAAUUACAUGUUUUUCAGUUCUGUCUUCUUUGGAAAAAAUGUAAGAGUUGUUAUCAUGACCAAUGAAGACAACCAUGGCUGAAAAGACACUUUAA